GGGAAAUUAGCUCAGUUGGUUAGAGUCCCGCACAGCUUGUCCCGCUAGUGCGGGAUGCGGGAUUAAUUCCCGGAUUUCCCU
rnacentral:tRNA from 1 species